rnacentral:tRNA from 1 species
GCGGGUGUGGCGGAAUGGCAGACGCGCCAGGUUUAGGUCCUGGUGGGGGAGACCCCGUGGAGGUUCGAGUCCUCUCACCCGCA